AAUUCGCCCUUAGAGUUUGAUCCUGCUCAGGAUGAACGCUGGCGGCGUGCCUAAGACAUGCAAGUCGUGCGGAAAGGCCACUUCGGUGGUACUCGAGCGGCGGACGGCAGAGUAACGCGUAGGAACAUACCCCAAACUGAGGGAUAACUGCUCGAAAGAGUAGCUAAUACUGCAUGUGAUCUUCGGAUUAAAGCUUCGGCGGUUUGGGAAUGGCCUGCGUCCGAUUAGCUGGUUGGUGAGGUAAUAGCUCACCAAGGCGACGAUCGGUAGCUGGUCUGAGAGGAUGAUCAGCCUGACUGGAACUGAGAACGGUCCAGACUCCUACGGGAGGCAGCAGUCGGGAAUUUUCCACAAUGGGCGAAAGCCUGAUGGAGCAACGCCGCGUGCAGGAUGAAUGCCUUCGGGUUGUAAACUGCUUUUAUUAGUGAAGAAUAUGACGGUAACUAAUGAAUAAGGGUCGGCUAACUACGUGCCAGCAGCCGCGGUCAUACGUAGGACCCAAGCGUUAUCCGGAAUUACUGGGCGUAAAGAGUUGCGUAGGUGGCAGGAUAAGUGGAGUGUGAAAGCGUGCGGCUCAACCGCAUAUCCUCAUUCCAAACUAUUAGGCUUGAGUAUGAUAGAGGUAGAUGGAAUUUCUAGUGUAGGAGUGAAAUCCGUAGAUAUUAUAAGGAACACC
rnacentral:rRNA from 1 species